rnacentral:rRNA from 1 species
CCUACGGGAGGCAGCAGUGAGGAAUAUUGGACAAUGGGCGCAAGCCUGAUCCAGCCAUGCCGCGUGCAGGAAGAAGCAUCUAUGGUGUGUAAACUGCUUUUGUACAGGAAGAAACACUCCCUCGUGAGGGAGCUUGACGGUACUGUAAGAAUAAGGACCGGCUAACUCCGUGCCAGCAGCCGCGGUAAUACGGAGGGUCCGAGCGUUAUCCGGAAUCAUUGGGUUUAAAGGGUCCGUAGGCGGUUUAAUAAGUCAGUGGUGAAAUCUGGUCGCUCAACGAUCAAACGGCCAUUGAUACUGUUAGACUUGAAUUAUAAGGAAGUAACUAGAAUAUGUAGUGUAGCGGUGAAAUGCUUAGAUAUUACAUGGAAUACCAAUUGCGAAGGCAGGUUACUACUUAUGGAUUGACGCUGAUGGACGAAAGCGUGGGGAGCGAACAGGAUUAGAUACCCUGGUAGUCCACGCCGUAAACGAUGGAUACUAGCUGUUCGGAGCAAUCUGAGUGGCUAAGCGAAAGUGAUAAGUAUCCCACCUGGGGAGUACGUUCGCAAGAAUGAAACUCAAAGGAAUUGACGGCGNGAGAGAGACGACGACGACGACGAGGGAGGAGG